rnacentral:rRNA from 1 species
CAGCCGCCACGGUAAUACAGAGGGUGCAAGCGUUAAUCGGAAUUACUGGGCGUAAAGCGCGCGUAGGUGGUUUGUUAAGUUGGAUGUGAAAUCCCCGGGCUCAACCUGGGAACUGCAUCCAAAACUGGCAAGCUAGAGUAUGGUAGAGGGUGGUGGAAUUUCCUGUGUAGCGGUGAAAUGCGUAGAUAUAGGAAGGAACACCAGUGGCGAAGGCGACCACCUGGACUGAUACUGACACUGAGGUGCGAAAGCGUGGGGAGCAAACAGGAUUAGAGACCCCCGUAGUCCCUGUCUCUUAUAC